rnacentral:rRNA from 1 species
AGCAGUCGCCACGGUAAUACGUAGGUGGCAAGCGUUGUCCGGAAUUAUUGGGCGUAAAGGGCUCGCAGGCGGUUUCUUAAGUCUGAUGUGAAAGCCCCCGGCUCAACCGGGGAGGGUCAUUGGAAACUGGGAAACUUGAGUGCAGAAGAGGAGAGUGAAUUCCACGUGUAGCGGUGAAAUGCGUAGAGAUGUGGAGGAACACCAGUGGCGAAGGCGACUCUCUGGUCUGUAACUGACGCUGAGGAGCGAAAGCGUGGGGAGCGAACAGGAUUAGAUACCCCGGUAGUCCCUGUCUCUUAUACA